rnacentral:rRNA from 1 species
GACGAACGCUGGCGGCGUGCCUAAUACAUGCAAGUAGAACGCACAGUUUAUACCGUAGCUUGCUACACCAUAGACUGUGAGUUGCGAACGGGUGAGUAACGCGUAGGUAACCUGCCUGGUAGCGGGGGAUAACUAUUGGAAACGAUAGCUAAUACCGCAUAAUAUUAAUUAUUGCAUGAUAAUUAAUUGAAAGGUGCAAUUGCACCACUACCAGAUGGACCUGCGUUGUAUUAGCUAGUUGGGGAGGUAACGGCUCACCUAGGCGACGAUACAUAGCCGACCUGAGAGGGUGAUCGGCCACACUGGGACUGAGACACGGCCCAGACUCCUACGGGAGGCAGCAGUAGGGAAUCUUCGGCAAUGGACGAAAGUCUGACCGAGCAACGCCGCGUGAGUGAAGAAGGUUUUCGGAUCGUAAAGCUCUGUUGUAAGAGAAGAACGGGUGUGAGAGUGGAAAGUUCACACUGUGACGGUAUCUUACCAGAAAGGGACGGCUAACUACGUG